UUUCUUUCUUUUGCUGGCUCCUUGCGGCGUUUUAUCCCGACCAAUCUGCCGCCCCAUCGGCGGAUCGCUCACCUCUCGCCUCACAGGGGUAAAGCUCAUCCCCACCGGCCACCCCCUACCUCGCGGUUUCUCACUCACACGCAUUCUGACCUGCGCUCACGGGGAUUUUCUCCCGGCGACUGCGGCGGCCAUUUUGGAUCUCAUCUCGCGAGAUCUGCGGCCGCCAUUUUAAAUACUCCCCGAGCUCCGUUCAGACGGCGCUCGGCGUCUACAUCUACCCGGUCUUCCUCACAGCUUCCCAGACAGCUCCUCCACAAGUGUGUAUAAGGCAGGGGUCACCAGGUCAGUAAGAUUAAAGUCUGUAUUUUAAAGCACUAUAGGGUUUAAUACCCUGGCAUUUGGGGUGAGACCCCUAAUAUUUG